GCAACCUGCCCCAGGCUUUGGGAUAACCCCGGGAAACCGGGGCUAAUACCGAAUAUGACCUCCGAUCGCAUGGUUGGUGGUGGAAAGUUUUUCGGCUUGGGAUGGGCUCGCGGCCUAUCAGCUUGUUGGUGGGGUGAUGGCCUACCAAGGCGACGACGGGUAGCCGGCCUGAGAGGGCGACCGGCCACACUGGGACUGAGACACGGCCCAGACUCCUACGGGAGGCAGCAGUGGGGAAUAUUGCACAAUGGGCGGAAGCCUGAUGCAGCGACGCCGCGUGAGGGAUGACGGCCUUCGGGUUGUAAACCUCUUUCAGCAGGGACGAAGCGUAAGUGACGGUACCUGCAGAAGAAGCGCCGGCCAACUACGUGCCAGCAGCCGCGGUAAGACGUAGGGCGCGAGCGUUGUCCGGAUUUAUUGGGCGUAAAGAGCUCGUAGGCGGCUUGUCGCGUCGACUGUGAAAACCCGCAGCUCAACUGCGGGCCUGCAGUCGAUACGGGCAGGCUAGAGUUCGGUAGGGGAGACUGGAAUUCCUGGUGUAGCGGUGAAAUGCGCAGAUAUCAGGAGGAACACCGGUGGCGAAGGCGGGUCUCUGGGCCGAUACUGACGCUGAGGAGCGAAAGCGUGGGGAGCGAACAGGAUUAGAUACCCUGGUAGUCCACGCUGUAAACGUUGGGCGCUAGGUGUG
rnacentral:rRNA from 1 species